rnacentral:rRNA from 1 species
AAUCAACGCUGGCGGCGUGCCUAACACAUGCAAGUCGAACGAGAAAGGGUAGCAAUACCUGAGUAAAGUGGCGCACGGGUGAGUAACACGUGGGUAAUCUGCCUUAGAGUGGGGGAUAACACCGGGAAACCGGUGCUAAUACCGCAUACGAUCACGAUGUCUGCGGAUGUUGUGAUGAAAGGAGCAAUUCGCUCUUGGAGGAGCCCGCGGCUGAUUAGCUAGNGGUGAGGUAAUGGCUCACCAAGGCUACGAUCAGUAUCCGGUCUGAGAGGACGGUCGGACACACUGGAACUGAGACACGGUCCAGACUCCUACGGGAGGCAGCAGUGGGGAAUUUUUCGCAAUGGGCGCAAGCCUGACGACGCAACGCCGCGUGGAGGAUGAAGAUUUUCGGAUCGUAAACUCCUGUCGAAUGGGACGAAAAGAUUGCGGGUG